GGGGGGGCUUACAUCCUGUAUAAAAAACAAAUUCACUUCCAUGACAAACAUGGAUAAUUUUGUGGGAAGGAUAACAAGUUUACAAAAAAACAACAAUAUUUGAUACCUUGCGUAGGCAUUUCAAAGACACCUAAAUUAGUUUGAACUCCUGGAAAGAGAUCGGGGACGUAAUGGUGAUACAUGCUUUAUAAACAAACAAACUCUCGUAUAAACAGAAACUCACUACCUUAAAUUGAUUAUUUUGAGGAAAGGCUACCAGAAAAAAGAUCUUUAUGAUACCUUGUUUAGGGAUUUCAAAGACGACAAUUUGUUUGAACUACUGGAAAGAGAUCGGGAAGACAAUGGGGAUAGAUGCGAUAAAGAAAUCAAUGGAGUUAAAUAAACGUUAAAUCCACGUUAACAGUGGAUAUUUGUCAAAAUCCGAUUUGGAUAUACUUGGCUGUUUUUGAUGCGUAACAUUUAGAAGUUUUUCCAGAUUUAAAAGUGACUACAAAUGCUAACUCCCAUUCGUAUAAACUGGUAGCAUAGCUAGCAUACAGAAAUAGGUGUUGGUAGUUAACUGUAGUUAAAAAACAACAACCUGUAAUGCAGUUGAUUAAUGACAUGAACAUGUAUUGGAGUUGACAUCCGUACAAGCAUUAUACUCCUAUUUCUACCUCAACAUGUGAAAUACACAUAUAAACAGCCUAAAUGUAGGCUAGUUUUUCUGGGGAGCAAUGGUUAGAUUUGCGAUGGGAUGCUGGUGGGAAAACGGUGCAGUCCUCCUACUUCAUGCGCUCUUGGGUGAGCUCUUACGUCAAGCACCAGGAAACUGACGCCACAUCUCAGAUGAGAGUCGUGACUGAACGACGACAUUAAGAACAUACAGCUGGCGGGUUAUACACUCUAUCCGCAGGACAUAACAGCAGCCUCUGAAUCUCCAUACAAAGCCCACCAAGUCUCAGUUGAAGAUGAGCCACAUGUCAACUGUCAAUCAUUCCCUGCCAGAUAUCACUACCUGAAUCUAUAAAGACUCGUAAACUGAACUGCAUCGCUGCCUCCGCCUGCUCUUUAAUUGGAGUCCCACAGUCGAUGGGCAUCGCCACAACCCUCACCUAAACCUCAAUCAGUUACACAAUAUUGUUCAAUUACAAGAUUGCAACAGGCUGUGAACCAAAGUUUUGGUCACUGUUUCUCUGGGCACCCUUAUUAGGGGAAGACAUGCAGGCAAUGCGUAUGCUCAUGUUCAGGCGAGAGCUUUGUACCUGGAAGGUCGUUUGUGUAUAAGCUGUUGUUGGUGUUGGUUUAUUUCUGUGAGCAACCAUGCUGUCUUGAAGAAAUGUUUGGGGUGCGGUCGAUUUGUUCUGAAUGGUACGUGUUGAGUUUGACCAUCAUUGAGUUUAUUCAUUUGACAAUAUUUAAGAUGCUGAUUUAAUGUAAAGCUCCUGCCAUGUCAUUUUGUUUUCAGUUUGUUUGGAGAGGCUUUGCUGGUUUGAGAUCCAGGCAGUUUAUUAGCAGUGCCCUCCAAUAAGUUGACCGUCUUUAAGUAAAGUCAUUUUUGUAUUUCUAAAAUACCUCAUGUUUUUGUAAAUGGAGUGGUUUAACUGUUUAUUUUCACUGUUUUUGGUCAUCUUGUGAACUUGGCCAACUGAAUCUCUGUGAAAUCACUGUUGUAUUUCAGAAAGCUGUGUAGUGGAAGUAACAGGCCGUUAUUGUAAAUAAGAAUUUGUUCUUAAUAACUGGCUUGCCUUGUUAAAUAAAAGGUUUAGUUGUGUUUUAAUCAUUUAAUGUACUCUUGUUCAUGUGUCAAACAAGCAAACCUAAUCCCCUGAGCUUUAAACGUUUGUGGUUGUUCUGCCUCUGUACUGUUUCCAUCUAAUGGGCUUAGAACCUAUAACCUUUUAGAUGUUACAAUUGUAAUAAAACAUUUUAUAUUGUUGCCAA
ensembl:lncRNA